GACGAACGCUGGCGGCGUGCUUAACACAUGCAAGUGGUGCGACGAACCAGGCUUCGGCCUGGGGCGAAGCCGCGAACGGGUGAGUAACACGUGGGCAAUCUGCCCCUUUGAUCGGGACAACCCGGGGAAACCCGGGCUAAUACCGAAUGAGGUGGCGACUCAUGAGAGUCGUCACGAAAGGAAGCUUCGGCCUCCGCGAAGGGAUGAGCCCGCGGCCCAUUAGCUUGUUGGUGGGGUAAUGGCCUACCAAGGCAACGAUGGGUAGCUGGUCUGAGAGGGAGAUCAGACACACUGGGACUGAGACACGGCCCAGACUCCUACGGGAGGCUGAAGUGGGGAAUGUUGCGCAAUGAGCGACAGCUUGACGAAGCAACGCCGCGUGAGGGAAGAAGGCUUUCGGGUCGUAAACCUCUUUCAGCUAUGACGAAGCGCAAGUGACGGUAGUAGCAGAAGAAGGACCGGCCAACUACGUGCCAGCCGCCGCGGUAA
rnacentral:rRNA from 1 species